rnacentral:rRNA from 1 species
UACGUAGGGUGCAAGCGUUAAUCGGAAUUACUGGGCGUAAAGCGUGCGCAGGCGGCUUUGCAAGACAGCUGUGAAAUCCCCGGGCUCAACCUGGGAACUGCAUUUGUGACUGCAAGGCUGGAGUACGGCAGAGGGGGAUGGAAUUCCGCGCGUAGCAGUGAAAUGCGUAGAUAUGCGGAGGAACACCGAUGGCGAAGGCAAUCCCCUGGGCCGGUACUGACGCUCAUGCACGAAAGCGUGGGGAGCAAACAGG